ACGUGGGCCGGGUACACCAGGGGACCUGUGCACAGGACAUAUUCAAGGUGAAAACUGAACUACACAACUUCAUUACUCACUAUCUCAAUAUACACCGAGCCGCGCCGAGGACCCGACUGACGCUGAAUACACAUGAGCUUUCCCUGACCGGCUAAAGGAGGAUUUUAUAACCAGUGAGAAACUCAAACCUUCCUCAACACACACACACUCGCCAGCUUUUCCUGUUGUAUCCUCUGAUCAGUAUCACUGUUUAGGAACUAUUUAGACCUCCAUAUAUCAACUGAUUUACUUUUAAAAACAACCCCGCUGCGAUUUGCAAGUGGGAGUUUUGAGAACCCGGUGACCCAAGUCAGUCUCAGAGUUGAGGCGUUUUAAUGUCACGGUUUCAAGCGGCGAAGCCCAGGCAGUGAAUCAAUCUCCUCUCGUUUAAUUGAUCGGUUGCAAUUAUUCCAGAGAUACACUGGAGCGAGUCAUUAGUUAGAUAUACCUCUCUGUAUAAAAAUGCCCCUUCACGACUGAGCAAAAGAACGCCUCUCUCCAUCUCUCGAAAGUAAAUGACCCUUUUCUCCCUUUCUCCCCCUACAAUCAAAUCUGUCUUAUGGAGUCAGAAUUUCAUUCACUCUGAAUUGCUAAGUUUAUAUAUCCCACCACCACACAUUUGCAACACACACACACACACAAUCCAAUCGCGGGACUGAAUCUUUAACCCAUUCACAAGGAUAUUAAUGGGCAUUCAAACGUUUACCAUGUUACUAAUCCACUUUUUUAAUGUACCAAUUCUUCAAUCUAUAUCCCAAACCAAUAAAAAAAAACUUUUGCAUAGAAUGCAACUGGCUUAUUACCACCGAAUUUUUUCUAAAACAAAAAUUGAAUGGCAGGCAUCCGUAUAAAACUGGCUCAUUUUCGACCACUAUGUUGUCAUUCGUAUACUCACUUACCUUCACAUUACCAACCGCCCAUAACAUGACACUACCCUUACCUGAAACACAUUGCACAAACAACAGACCCUCACAGCCACACCACCCCACCCAAAUUCCUCAGUUUGUCCCCUUUAUUAGUUCAAUGACCGCGUUGAGUGCACCUGUUUUUUUGUUGUUGUUGCAGAACUCAAUACAUUUAAACCAUACCCAUAUACUCCAAGCCUUC